ensembl:lncRNA
AAAGAAAAUGCCUUAUAAUUCCUUCAUACAUUUUCAGUCAGUAUGGGAAUUGAGUUACAUAGCAUCUUCUAAUGUCAGCAUUCCUUAGUUGUUUGUGUUGCUGGGCCAACUUCAAAAAACAAGGCUCAAAGAUUAUAACACAGAAAGCAUUUAAGAAGAACAAUGUAGGCCGCCUGAUUUUCCCCUCUUCACCACCCUACCACACACCACUACCCCAUUCUUCAAAGUCUUAAGAAAAUACCAGACCUCUUCAUAAGCAUUUCACUUAUAGAAAUAUUCAUUAACUUCUUAAUUAGAAGCACAACAAUAUUUAGCAAAUUAUUUUAAUAAUAGUAUUAUUACUUUGCCUAAAAACACAGGUAGAAGUACAAAUCUGUAAUCAAAAAUCAGUGGAAGAAUGUACAAAUCCAGAGUGAUAUUUAUGACAAGUAAAGUCAGAAGAUAAACACAUCACUGCCCAGCUACCUAAAAGAACUCAUUACUUUGAGAAUGAUGUUUUACUGGCAAGAAGAAAAAGCAAUCUGCCAGUGUUCACAUUUUAUGUGAACACAAUUUACUUUGUAUUUCCACAUGCCCUGUUUCUAGUCUUCUUAAAGAGUUUGCAUAAAUUCUUUUGUUUUCUUUGUGGUCUACUUUCUCAAGACUUUGUCUUUCCACUAGUGGACUAAGUGUAAAUGCAGUAAAAUAAUUCAUUUCUAGGCUAAUUAAUGAAGAAAAAUAUACAGCUACCUCUGAAAUGCCUUCAUGAUCAGUGUGGUCAUGGUAGCACAAAUAAAAUCAAAUGUAGAUGUGGUAGCACAGUCCUUACAUUAUGUGUUAUCUACAUCGUAUCUAUAAACCGUAGUGUAGAUCCAGUAUUGUGCUAAGAUAGCACUGCAGCUUCUUCACUGGGAUGAAAUAAGAGGAUUCCUACACAGUGCAAAUAAAACUUACAGGGUAAGACUUUUGUAUAAGGGAACACAUAACCCAUGUGGACUGCCCAACACCACAUCUGUACCCCAAAAGUUCAGUGUUAUUUUCCAUUUACACCCAAUAUUUAUUCAUAAGGCGAUUUCUCACUAGAAAUUAGGAUUUUUCUUUUAGGAAAACACAUCAUAAACGUAUAGGUAAAAUGUGCAGUAUAUAAUUUAUUUUUCUUACACUGGGAUCUAGUAGGUGUCUUCCAGAUUAAUCUUAACUGAUAUGUGACAAUGGUUCUUUGUAUUCUGACAGCUGGAUCUUUUUUCACAAUAUACACAAAUUUCUGUUAUUUUUUUAUUCAAUUUAUUUCAUAUUCUUGUUAUCUUCUUACUUUACACUCAGCCAUAAAAGUAGUAGGCAGUUACAUCUCAUACUGAUAAUGUCUUAGUUGCUUAUGCAAUUUAAUUAUCUGCAUAAUAUUUUUUUCACUACAGUUGAUAUUCCCAUUUACUGUACAUAUAGUUUAUCUAUUUUGAUUUUUACAUUGCUAAUAAAAUAUUAUUACAUUAACAUUUGAAAAUGUUGAAAAUAAACAACUAUGCCAAGACCCUUCAUUUAAAAAAAAUAUUAGUAGUGUUCCAUUACAGUAUUCUCCUAUAUCAUCCUAUUUAUGUUUGAAUUAUCUGUAGUUAUUCACAAUUUAAAAGGAUAGAGUUUCCUUUUUGUAACUGACAGUUAUACUUUCUAGAAUAUUAGAUGUGAUUUUCUGAAUUGAAACAAUGUUACUACUACUAAUUGUAUGACAAAUCGUGUAAAAUAUAACUGUGAAAUAUUUUGAAGGUGAUCUACUCAAAUAUUCUUCUUGAUAAUGAAGUCCAAAUUAGAGAAUGUAUUUUACAUAUCUAGGAGUGCUAAGAAGUAAAAUUCUUGAUUUGAAAAUAAAUGCCAUCAACAUUUCUUUGCACAACUAUGCUGUUCCUUUCAACUACUGGGGAGACUUUAUCUAUAACUCAGUUUGCAGUAAGAGUGAUUCAGAUUACUGUCCAUGUCUACAAGAAUGAACUAACUUAGCACCACAAGAAAACUGCUGCAGACCUGUGGAACAGUCCUAAUUUAAGAGGCAUUCCGCAGUACUACUGUGAGGUAGUUUUGCCAGCAGUUCAAAUGCAUUAUGUGCACACAUUACAAAUGCAAAGCAGAUCUGUAGCACUGUAAUGGCUAUUGCUGCUUCACUUCAGGGACUUUACAAGCUAUACAUCAGAACUAUGGCAGGAAUAUUUUGCAUGGCUACAAAAACAAACAAACGAGCAACAUAAUUUUCACUGAAGAGUACCUUUGAAAAUAUGCUGAGAAAAUAAUGAUGCAAAACCUUCCAGCUAUAUUUUGAUUACAAAAAUAUGUUGUUCUUGUACUCAUCCCAUGCUGGGUAUCCUUACUGUCACAAAACAAAUCAAAAGCAGAGGGCUGGAAUUCCUACUACUUGAAUUGUUAAUUUUGGUCUGCUUCAAGAGAAAAUCUUUUCAGUAAGAUGGCAUAGCUUUGUUUUUCUCCCUCUACCAACAUUUUGAAAUGAUAAAACACACAGUAAUCUCAUACUAGUAACAAAAUCAGCCCUUUGAAAGAGAUAAUAGGACUAACAUCAACACUAAACUAUGUACUAUCUUUUUGUGGUGGACUUCAAGCAAGUAAAGUAGACACAAUCUGAACGACUUGAGCAUACAUUUCAGAGUAGAACAAGUUUUAACACCAUCACACAUUGCCAAAAUGUCAUUCUGUUUCAAGAACUUUGAUUCUAUCUUCAGUCAACUAAGUUGUGCUCUGCUGUCAAGACAUUUAGUUCAGACACCAUUAAUGUUGGAUGCAAAAAGUUCUUGGGAAAACUGAAGUCAAGGUGUAGCACAAGGUUCAGGUUAGCUUGAUAGAAGAUAUUAUAGUCCACUUUCUUGUCAAAGAACUCAAGGAGACUGUUAUAGCACUGAUGCAAGUGUUGGUGUGAAAAGUUUUCUCAAGAAAACUGUUCUAAAACUCAGGCAGUAUACAAAGGUUCAGUAAGGUACAAAUAAGCAUCAACACAAAUAGUAACUAUAAAAGCUUUUACUAGAAGUUCUACUGCUGUUAUUCUUUAGUUUAGAAUAUUGUUUAUGAUUUGAAAUUUAUUAUAUUAAUAUAAGAAAAAAAUUUGCUCUCUUCAGUUAACAGUGAAACAAAAUACUUCAACUUGAAUGGAGGUACAAUUUUCUAGGACAGCAAAACGAUGUUUUCACCAGAAUUCUCAUUGAUUUUAUUUAUAUUUCUAUGCUAAAAAAAAAAAAAAAAAAAAAAAAAGAGAGAGAGAGAGAGAGAGAAAAGAAAAAGAAAAGAGAGAGAGAGGGAAAAAUUAG